AAAGUCCUUCUUUUUGACGAUACCCCUUGACUACUAAAUGAGCUUUAUACUUGUCCAUGGUACCAUCUGGUCUCAAUUUCCUCUUGAAAAUCCAUUUGUGUCCUAUUGGUUUAUUUCCAGGAGAGAAGGAAAUAGAGACGGUUCCUGUUCAUGAGGUUGAAAUGAGGCGGAAAGAUUUGCUACCUAUUCAUCCUUUUCAUAGGUUUCAGUCUGACUGGAAUGGUAGGCAUCUAAUUGGAGGAGAAUGCUCAAGUUCAUCUUCUGAUUCUCACGAAGAUAAAGAAAAGUUUCAGGAAAAAUCUCGGUAAUUCUGGUGAGAAUUUUACACCUAUAGGCUCAGCUAAAAACCCAAUGCUGGUGAUUAUCCACUUAUUCUCCAACCUGGAAAUGGUCGGAAUGGCGAAAAAAGAGGGAGAAAGGUGCUUUGUUGCUGGAAGAACCACUGAACCAGUAGAACUGUCCGCGGUUCUUCAAUUCAAUUCGAAUAAUUUUUUUUACCCAGAAAAGCUAGCAAUUCCCGAUGUCAAUGUUUGCAAAAGUGGCAGAAAGCAGAGUGUGACAGAAAGCAGAGUGUGACAGCCUUCUUCCUAGCCGAAGGCUCUGUGUGUGUGUGAGCAUACAAGUCUUAAAGUUGCGUGAAAUUGUCAAAAGUUGAAGACUUUUGUUCACCUUUCUUUUUUUGCUUUUGCAUGUAUUAGUCUUUUGCGGUUUACAGUGCAGGCAUCCUUUUCCAAUUAUUGUUGCCUAUUCAAUUUAUUUGAUUCAUUAACAUUUGUGUA